rnacentral:lncRNA from 1 species
GCCCAUCUCGCUCAAAAGCUUUACAUCUUCCUGGUGGUUUAUCACAGUAAGUUUAGUACCGCCUUAUUGGUCUGGAAAUUCAUCCAUUUAACAUUACUUGGUCUCACAAACUAACCUUGUACUUAUGAUACUGAUCUGCAGUCACAUCAGCAGUGGCUCCAUCGGCAGAGUAGCCUGUGGAUGUUAAAACUCCAUGUUACAAUUCGCAAUGCGAUAAUGCGUGGUAGAUUCAGGCCCACAGGGUGUGGGGAAGCCGGUGAAUAAACCUGAGUGUGUGAAUGUAUCCCAGAUGCUGGGUUUUCUUCCGUCCUCUGCAACCGCGCCUUCAAUCUGGGAAAUCAGCGGAAUGUUCAGACCGGUACGCACAACAAAGUAUAUUAUACUGUACAAUUCAGCGAAGUAUCUUAUACAAUGUGAAAGCUUUUUUACUACUUGUAGUCCCAAUUCUGGUGAUUCAGACGGCAGAGGCUUAAGAGCAAAGGCAGUUAAAUUUGACCAUUCUAUCUAAAAAACAAUGAUAAUUUGGACCCUGUUUUCCUUUGUUUUGACCUUUUUCUGGACUCUCGGGUCCUAAUCCCUAGCAACAUAAGUGGAUCACUAUUAUUUUCUUCCCUCCACUAUUGAGAGCUUUGGUUUAUUUAUGGUUCCAAUCCUGCCAACACGACCGCCUAUUUGCAGCUUUCACUGAUUAAGAUGCUCUGUUUCGCUCCAGCCAAAAACAGAAAGAAGUAGCCGAAAGAGAAAUUAGCCUGGUGACAUCGAAAUGAAGUCGACGAAAGAAACUGGUGAGGAAACGGCAUUUGGGUUGUUUUCUGAAGACUAUAUGGGACGAAAACGUCGUUGGCGGGAACAGAGUGUAAGUAUAGGCUGCCGGUGACUGGUUGCUUAACUUUUUAUUAUUAUUUUAUAAUAAAGGGAGCAUCCUCCCAAUUUCAUUUAACUGAAAUCACCAUGUCUUUUUACAAACUACCAAAAGAAACUGGUUGCUUAACUUGGAUCGAGUUUAGGGAUGACAUUAGAAAGAAAGCUUUGUGUUGGUCAGAGUUGGACCCUGAAUUUAAGCAACUGCAUG